UUCGAGUGGCGGACGGGUGAGUAACGCGUGGGUAACCUGCCUUACACAGGGGGAUAACACCUGGAAACAGGUGCUAAUACCGCAUAAGCGCACAGGGCCGCAUGGCCCGGUGUGAAAAACUCCGGUGGUGUAAGAUGGACCCGCGUCUGAUUAGCUGGUUGGCGGGGUAACGGCCCACCAAGGCGACGAUCAGUAGCCGGCCUGAGAGGGUGAACGGCCACAUUGGGACUGAGACACGGCCCAAACUCCUACGGAAGGCAGCAG
rnacentral:rRNA from 1 species